GCGGGGAUUCCAGAGCGGUCAAAUGGGCAUGGCUCAAGACCAUGUGGCUUAGUGCCUUCGUAGGUUCGAAUCCUACUCCCCGCA
rnacentral:tRNA from 3 species